rnacentral:rRNA from 1 species
GGGUUGUGAGGUUAAGCGACUAAGCGUACACGGUGGAUGCCCUGGCAGUCAGAGGCGAUGAAGGACGUGCUAAUCUGCGAAAAGCGUCGGUAAGGUGAUAUGAACCGUUACAGCCGGCGAUGUCCGAAUGGGGAAACCCAGUGCAAUUCGUUGCACUAUCGUUAACUGAAUACAUAGGUUAACGAGGCGAACCGGGGGAACUGAAACAUCUAAGUACCCCGAGGAAAAGAAAUCAACCGAGAUUCCCCCAGUAGCGGCGAGCGAACGGGGAGCAGCCCGGAGUCUGAAUCAGCUUGUGUGUUAGUGGAAGCGUCUGGAAAGUCGCAGGGUACAGGGUGAUACUCCCGUACACUAAAACGCACAGGUUGUGAACUCGAAGAGUAGGGCGGGACACGUGGUAUCCUGUCUGAAUAUGGGGGGACCAUCCUCCAAGGCUAAAUACUCCUGACUGACCGAUAGUGAACCAGUACCGUGAGGGAAAGGCGAAAAGAACCCCGGCGAGGGGAGUGAAAAAGAACCUGAAACCGUGUACGUACAAGCAGUAGGAGCCCACUUGUUGGGUGACUGCGUACCUUUUGUAUAAUGGGUCAGCGACUUAUAUUCUGUAGCAAGGUUAACCGUAUAGGGGAGCCGCAGGGAAACCGAGUCUUAACUGGGCGUUAAGUUGCAGGGUAUAGACCCGAAACCCGGUGAUCUAGCCAUGGGCAGGUUGAAGGUUGGGUAACACUAACUGGAGGACCGAACCGACUAAUGUUGAAAAAUUAGCGGAUGACUUGUGGCUGGGGGUGAAAGGCCAAUCAAACCGGGAGAUAGCUGGUUCUCCCCGAAAGCUAUUUAGGUAGCGCCUCGUGAACUCAUCUUCGGGGGUAGAGCACUGUUUCGGCUAGGGGGUCAUCCCGACUUACCAACCCGAUGCAAACUACGAAUACCGAAGAAUGUUAUCACGGGAGACACACGGCGGGUGCUAACGUCCGUCGUGAAGAGGGAAACAACCCAGACCGCCAGCUAAGGUCCCAAAGUCAUGGUUAAGUGGGAAACGAUGUGGGAAGGCCCAGACAGCCAGGAUGUUGGCUUAGAAGCAGCCAUCAUUUAAAGAAAGCGUAAUAGCUCACUGGUCGAGUCGGCCUGCGCGGAAGAUGUAACGGGGCUAAACCAUGCACCGAAGCUGCGGCAGCGACACUAUGUGUUGUUGGGUAGGGGAGCGUUCUGUAAGCCGUUGAAGGUGGCCUGUGAGGGUUGCUGGAGGUAUCAGAAGUGCGAAUGCUGACAUAAGUAACGAUAAUGCGGGUGAAAAACCCGCACGCCGGAAGACCAAGGGUUCCUGUCCAACGUUAAUCGGGGCAGGGUGAGUCGACCCCUAAGGCGAGGCCGAAAGGCGUAGUCGAUGGGAAACAGGUUAAUAUUCCUGUACUUGGUGUUACUGCGAAGGGGGGACGGAGAAGGCUAUGUUGGCCGGGCGACGGUUGUCCCGGUUUAAGCAUGUAGGCGGAUGUUCCAGGUAAAUCCGGAACGUUAUCAACGCUGAGGUGUGAUGACGAGGCACUACGGUGCUGAAGUGACAAAUGCCCUGCUUCCAGGAAAAGCCUCUAAGCAUCAGGUAACAUCAAAUCGUACCCCAAACCGACACAGGUGGUCAGGUAGAGAAUACCAAGGCGCUUGAGAGAACUCGGGUGAAGGAACUAGGCAAAAUGGUGCCGUAACUUCGGGAGAAGGCACGCUGAUGGUAGGUGAAGUGACUUGCUCAUGGAGCUGAAAUCAGUCGAAGAUACCAGCUGGCUGCAACUGUUUAUUAAAAACACAGCACUGUGCAAACACGAAAGUGGACGUAUACGGUGUGACGCCUGCCCGGUGCCGGAAGGUUAAUUGAUGGGGUUAUCCUCGCGGAGAAGCUCUUGAUCGAAGCCCCGGUAAACGGCGGCCGUAACUAUAACGGUCCUAAGGUAGCGAAAUUCCUUGUCGGGUAAGUUCCGACCUGCACGAAUGGCGUAAUGAUGGCCAGGCUGUCUCCACCCGAGACUCAGUGAAAUUGAACUCGCUGUGAAGAUGCAGUGUACCCGCGGCAAGACGGAAAGACCCCGUGAACCUUUACUAUAGCUUGACACUGAACACUGGUCCUUGAUGUGUAGGAUAGGUGGGAGGCUUUGAAGUGUGGACGCCAGUCUGCAUGGAGCCAUCCUUGAAAUACCACCCUUUAAUGGCUGGUGUUCUAACGUGGGCCCCUGAUCGGGGUUGCGGACAGUGUCUGGUGGGUAGUUUGACUGGGGCGGUCUCCUCCUAAAGAGUAACGGAGGAGCACGAAGGUCAGCUAAUCCUGGUCGGACAUCAGGAGGUUAGUGCAAUGGCAUAAGCUGGCUUGACUGCGAGCGUGACGGCGCGAGCAGGUGCGAAAGCAGGUCAUAGUGAUCCGGUGGUUCUGAAUGGAAGGGCCAUCGCUCAACGGAUAAAAGGUACUCCGGGGAUAACAGGCUGAUACCGCCCAAGAGUUCAUAUCGACGGCGGUGUUUGGCACCUCGAUGUCGGCUCAUCACAUCCUGGGGCUGAAGUAGGUCCCAAGGGUAUGGCUGUUCGCCAUUUAAAGUGGUACGCGAGCUGGGUUUAGAACGUCGUGAGACAGUUCGGUCCCUAUCUGCCGUGGGCGCUGGAGAAUUGAGGGGGGCUGCUCCUAGUACGAGAGGACCGGAGUGGACGCAUCACUGGUGUUCGGGUUGUCAUGCCAAUGGCAUUGCCCGGUAGCUAAAUGCGGAAGAGAUAAGUGCUGAAAGCAUCUAAGCACGAAACUUGCCCCGAGAUGAGUUCUCCCUGACUCCUUGAGAGUCCUGAAGGAACGUUGAAGACGACGACGUUGAUAGGCCGGGUGUGUAAGCGCAGCGAUGCGUUGAGCUAACCGGUACUAAUGAACCGUGAGGCUUAACCUUACAACGCCGAAG